CCUACGGGUGGCUGCAGUGAGGAAUAUUGGUCAAUGGACGAGAGUCUGAACCAGCCAAGUCGCGUGAAGGAUGACUGCCCUAUGGGUUGUAAACUUCUUUUAUAUGGGAAUAAAAUGUUCCACGUGUGGGCUUUUGUGUGUACCAUAUGAAUAAGGAUCGGCUAACUCCGUACCAGCAGCCGCGGUAAUACGGAGGAUCCGAGCGUUAUCCGGAUUUAUUGGGUUUAAAGGGAGCGUAGGUGGAGUGUUAAGUCAGUUGUGAAAGUUUGCGGCUCAACCGUAAAAUUGCAGUUGAAACUGGCAGUCUCGAGUACAGUAGAGGUGGGCGGAAUUCGUGGUGUAGCGGUGAAAUGCUUAGAUAUCACGAAGAACUCCGAUUGCGAAGGCAGCUCACUGGACUGCAACUGACACUGAGGCUCGAAAGUGUGGGUAUCAAACAGGAUUAGAUACCCCUGUAGUC
rnacentral:rRNA from 1 species